rnacentral:rRNA from 1 species
AUUGAACGCUGGCGGAAUGCUUUACACAUGCAAGUCGAACGGCAGCACGGGGGCAACCCUGGUGGCGAGUGGCGAACGGGUGAGUAAUGCAUCGGAACGUAUCCUUAAGUGGGGGAUAACGCAUCGAAAGAUGCGCUAAUACCGCAUAAUCUCUGAGGAGAAAAGCAGGGGAUCGCAAGACCUUGCGCUUUUGGAGCGGCCGAUGUCUGAUUAGCUAGUUGGUGAGGUAAAGGCUUACCAAGGCUUCGAUCAGUAGCUGGUCUGAGAGGACGACCAGCCACACUGGGACUGAGACACGGCCCAGACUCCUACGGGAGGCAGCAGUGGGGAAUUUUGGACAAUGGGGGAAACCCUGAUCCAGCCAUGCCGCGUGCAGGAUGAAGGCCUUCGGGUUGUAAACUGCUUUUGUACGGAACGAAAAGGUUCUCUCUAAUAAAGAGGGCUCAUGACGGUACCGUAAGAAUAAGCACCGGCUAACUACGUG